GAUGAACGCUAGCGGAGGCUUAACACAUGCAAGUCAGGGGCAGCAUAGGGUAGCAAUACUCUGAUGGCGACCGGCAAACGGGUGAGUAACGCGUAUGCAACCUACCCUGUACAGGGGGAUAACCCGGAGAAAUUCGGACUAAUAUCCCGUAAUAAUAUCCGGAGGCAUCUUUGGAUAUUUAAAGUUCCGACGGUACGGGAUGGGCAUGCGUAACAUUAGCUGGUUGGUAAGGUAACGGCUUACCAAGGCUAUGAUGUUUAGGGGUCCUGAGAGGGUGGUCCCCCACACUGGUACUGAGACACGGACCAGACUCCUACGGGAGGCAGCAGUGAGGAAUAUUGGUCAAUGGGCGCAAGCCUGAACCAGCCAUCCCGCGUGCAGGAAGACGGCCCUAUGGGUUGUAAACUGCUUUUCCAGGGAGAGAAACUUACGCACGUGUUGCGUGACUGACGGUACCCUGGGAAUAAGCAUCGGCUAACUCCGUG
rnacentral:rRNA from 1 species